UACGGGGGGGGCAAGCGUUGUUCGGAAUUACUGGGCGUAAAGGGCUCGUAGGCGGCCAACUAAGUCAGACGUGAAAUCCCUCGGCUUAACCGGGGAACUGCGUCUGAUACUGGAUGGCUUGAAUCCGGGAGAGGGAUGCGGAAUUCCAGGUGUAGCGGUGAAAUGCGUAGAUAUCUGGAGGAACACCGGUGGCGAAGGCGGCAUCCUGGACCGGCAUUGACGCUGAGGAGCGAAAGCCAGGGGAGCAGACGGG
rnacentral:rRNA from 1 species